GGGUGGACAAAUAAAACUGAACUGUACUGUACUGUUAAAAUCUAUACUAAACUAAAAACUAAUUUGUCUAAACUGAAUUGAACUAUGUAAAACAGUUCAGAAUUUGUUUUAUUAAACUGGACCGAAUUGAACUAUACUAAAUUAUACUAAACUACAAUAUAAACUGAACUAAACUACUAACUAUACUAAUUUUAAACUGAAUUGUACUAGUUUUUAAACUGAAUAGUAUAACAANACAUAUUCUUUUUAAUUGAAAUUUAUUUUAAUAUUUAUUUGUUUUCUUCAUAAGUGUUUUACAAAUUAAUUUUUUAAUAUUAUUAUUUUCUAUUGUAUUUAUAUUUCUAUAAUAAU
rnacentral:lncRNA from 1 species